rnacentral:tRNA from 3 species
GGAGGGGUGGCCGAGUGGCUGAAGGCGCCGGUUUGCUAAAUCGUUAGGGGAAGAAAUUCCUCUCGGGGGUUCGAAUCCCCCUCCCUCCGCCA